rnacentral:rRNA from 1 species
GACGAACGCUGGCGGCGUGCUUAACACAUGCAAGUCGAACGGACGAGUGAGAUAAGUUUACUUAACUCACAAGUUAGUGGCGGACGGGUGAGUAACACGUGGAUAAUCUACCUGCAACACCGGGAUAACGCUGUGAAAACGGUGCUAAUACCGGAUACGUUCCCUUGUGCGCAUGUAUGAGGGAAGAAAGCUCAGGCGGUUGCAGAUGAGUCCGCGGCUGAUUAGCUAGUUGGUGAGGUAAAGGCUCACCAAGGCGAUGAUCAGUAGCCGGCCUGAGAGGGUGAACGGCCACACUGGGACUGAGACACGGCCCAGACUCCUACGGGAGGCAGCAGUGGGGAAUCUUCCGCAAUGGGCGCAAGCCUGACGGAGCAACGCCGCGUGGGUGAUGAAGUCCUUCGGGAUGUAAACUCCAAUAGUUUGCCAGGAAGCAACCUGGCCUAAUACGUCGGGAAGUUGACCAGCAGACGAAAGGGGCGGCUAACUCCGUG